GAUGAACGCUGGCGGCGUGCCUAAUACAUGCAAGUCGAGCGAACAGACGAGGAGCUUGCUCCUCUGACGUUAGCGGCGGACGGGUGAGUAACACGUGUAUAACCUACCUAUAAUACUGGGAUAACUUCGGGAAACCGGAGCUAAUACCGGAUAAUAUAUUGAACCGCAUGGUGCAAUAGUGAAAGACGGUUUUGCUGUCACUUAUAGAUGGAUCCGCGCCGCAUUAGCUAGUUGGUAAGUUAACGGGUUACCAAGGGAACGAUGCGUAGCCGACCGGAUAGGGUGGUCGGCCACCCUGGAACUGGGCCACCGUCCAGACUCCUACGGGACGCCGCAGUCGGGAAUCUUCCGCAAUGGUCGAAAGCUUGGCGGAGCAACGCCGCGUGAGUGAUGACGGUCUUCGGAUCGUAAAACUCUCUUAUUAGGGAAGAACAACUGUGUCAGUAACUAUGCACGUCUUGACGGUACCUAAUCAGAAAGCCACGGCUAACUACGUG
rnacentral:rRNA from 1 species